AAGAUGUGAUAGGUAAAGUUUAGAUGUUGAAUAUUUUAGUUGGAUAUUUAAGUUUGCAACAAUGAAGUUAAUGUAUCUAACUUUGUUAGUUGUUUUGAUCGUCACGAUCUCUAGUAUGGCUCAAGAAAUUAAUAAAACUGAGGCUGAAAAAGAAGAGGAGCAAUAUACGAAAACUGCCGAAAAAAUUGCACUCCAUCAGGAUGAACUGGGUACAGAAUCCUUAGCGUUGGUUUGGGAAGCAUGGUGGAAAGUUUUACAUGACGUUUACUGGGAAGUAAUGUAAUGAUGGCUAUAUUAAUACUAAUACAAUACAAUCAGCAGAUUUUUUUAAAUUAAUGCAAAUAUUCUGUAACCAUUGUAUGAUAAUAUAUCAUUCGAUGCUGUGAAGAAUUAUACAUUUUUCAAACAGUAUUUUUCGUAUCGAAAUUAUGUAAAGUAUAAUAUGUAUAAUCAACAGAAAUACAAAUACAACUUGUACAAUCAU